UACGUAGGGGGCAAGCGUUGUCCGGAAUUAUUGGGCGUAAAGGGCGCGUAGGCGGCCUGACAAGUGGAAGGUGAAAUCCCUCGGCUCAACUGAGGAACUGCCCUCCAAACUGUUUGGCUUGAGACCGGGAGAGGUGAGUGGAAUUCCCAGUGUAGCGGUGAAAUGCGUAGAUAUUGGGAGGAACACCAGUGGCGAAGGCGGCUCACUGGACCGGUACUGACGCUGAGGCGCGAAAGCGUGGGGAGCGAACAGG
rnacentral:rRNA from 1 species